AUACGUAGGGGGCGAGCGUUGUCCGGAAUGAUUGGGCGUAAAGGGCGCGUAGGCGGCCCGGUAAGUCUGGAGUGAAAGUCAUGUUUUUAAGAUGGGAAUUGCUUUGGAUACUGUCGGGCUUGAGUGCAGGAGAGGUAAGUGGAAUUCCCAGUGUAGCGGUGAAAUGCGUAGAGAUUGGGAGGAACACCAGUGGCGAAGGCGACUUACUGGACUGUAACUGACGCUGAGGCGCGAAAGUGUGGGGAGCAAACAGGAUUAGAUACCCUGGUAGUCCACACUGUAAACGAUGAAUGCUAGGUGUAGGGGGUAUCGACCCCUUCUGUGCCGCAGUUAACACAAUAAGUAUUCCGCCUGGGGAGUACGGCCGCAAGGUUGAAACUCAAAGGAAUUGACGGGG
rnacentral:rRNA from 1 species